UGAACGCUAGCGACAGGCCUAACACAUGCAAGUCAGGGGCAGCACAAGGAGCAAUCUGAGGUGGCGACCGGCGCACGGGUGAGUAACACGUAUGCAACCUGCCUGUAAGCGGGGAAUAACCCGUUGAAAGACGGACUAAUACCGCAUAAUACUAAAUUACUGCAUGGUAAUUUAUUUAAACAUUUAUGGCUUACAGAUGGGCAUGCGCAUGAUUAGCUAGUUGGAGAGGUAACGGCUCCCCAAGGCAACGAUCAUUAGGGGUUCUGAGAGGAAGGUCCCCCACACUGGUACUGAGACACGGACCAGACUCCUACGGGAGGCAGCAGUGAGGAAUAUUGGUCAAUGGACGAGAGUCUGAACCAGCCAAGUCGCGUGCAGGAAGAAUGUCCUAAUGGAUUGUAAACUGCUUUUGCAGGGGAAUAAAGUGCAUCACGUGUGAUGUUUUGUAUGUACUCUGCGAAUAAGGAUCGGCUAACUCCGUGCCAGCAGCCGC
rnacentral:rRNA from 1 species